rnacentral:rRNA from 1 species
GAUGAACGCUGGCGGCGUGCCUAAUACAUGCAAGUCGAGCGAACGGACGAGAAGCUUGCUUCUCUGAUGUUAGCGGCGGACGGGUGAGUAACACGUGGAUAACCUACCUAUAAGACUGGGAUAACUUCGGGAAACCGGAGCUAAUACCGGAUAAUAUUUUGAACCGCAUGGUUCAAAAGUGAAAGACGGUCUUGCUGUCACUUAUAGAUGGAUCCGCGCUGCAUUAGCUAGUUGGUAAGGUAACGGCUUACCAAGGCAACGAUGCAUAGCCGACCUGAGAGGGUGAUCGGCCACACGGGAACUGAGACACGGUCCAGACUCCUACGGGAGGCAGCAGUAGGGAAUCUUCCGCAAUGGGCGAAAGCCUGACGGAGCAACGCCGCGUGAGGGAUGAAGGUCUUCGGAUCGUAAAACUCUGUUAUUAGGGAGGAACAUAUGUGUAAGUAACUGUGCACAUCUUGACGGUACCUAAUCAGAAAGCCACGGCUAACUACGUG